rnacentral:rRNA from 1 species
GACGAACGCUGGCGGCGUGCCUAAUACAUGCAAGUUGAGCGCUGAAGGUUGGUACUUGUACCAACUGGAUGAGCAGCGAACGGGUGAGUAACGCGUGGGGAAUCUGCCUUUGAGCGGGGGACAACAUUUGGAAACGAAUGCUAAUACCGCAUAAAAACUUUAAACACAAGUUUUAAGUUUGAAAGAUGCAAUUGCAUCACUCAAAGAUGAUCCCGCGUUGUAUUAGCUAGUUGGUGAGGUAAAGGCUCACCAAGGCGAUGAUACAUAGCCGACCUGAGAGGGUGAUCGGCCACAUUGGGACUGAGACACGGCCCAAACUCCUACGGGAGGCAGCAGUAGGGAAUCUUCGGCAAGGGACGAAAGGCUGACCGAGCAACGCCGCGUGAGUGAAGAAGGUUUUCGGAUCGUAAAACUCGGUUGGUAGAGAAGAACGUUGGUGAGAGUGGAAAGCUCAUCAAGUGACGGUAACUACCCAGAAAGGGACGGCUAACUACGUG